rnacentral:rRNA from 1 species
GACGAACGCUGGCGGCGCGCUUAACACAUGCAAGUCGAGCGAUGAAAUCUUAACAGAACCCUUCGGGGUGAAGAUAAGACGGAUUAGCGGCGGACGGGUGAGUAACACGUGAGUAACCUGCCUUUUACACAGGGAUAGCCUCAGGAAACCGGGAUUAAAACCUGAUGAAACUAUCAAAUCACAUGAUAAAGAAAGUUAAAACUCCGGUGGUAAAAGAUGGACUGGCGUCCCAUUAGCUAGUUGGUGAAGGUAACGGCCCACCAAGGCAACGAUGGGUAGCCGGCCUGAGAGGGUGAACGGACACAUUGGAACUGAGCAACGGUCCAAACUCCUACGGGAGGCAGCAGUGGGGAAUAUUGCCAAAUGGGGGAAACCCUGAUGCAGCGCCGCCGCGUGAGCGAAUAAGUCCUUCGGGUCGUAAAGCACGUUUAUAUGGGAAGAUACUGACGGUACCAUAAGAAAAAGCACCGGCUAACUACGUG